AUUUCAUAUGCCGUAGGGAUUCUCAGCAGGUUCAUGGAAUCACCUGGCAAGGAGCACUGGAUUGCAGUGAAGCAACUCCUGUGCUACAUCAGAGGUACACUUGGCCUUGGGUGUUUCUUCAGAAAAGGAGAGAAAGAUGUGCUGACAGGCUACAGUGAUAGUGAUCACGCUGGUGAUCUCAAUGUUCGCAAGAGUACCACUGGAGUUGUUUUCUUCCUUGGGUCAGGUGUGAUCACUUGGACCUCGCAGAAACAGAAGAUCGUGGCCCUGUCGUCAUGCGAGGCAGAAUACAUAGCUGGAGCAACUGCCGCCACACAGGCCGUCUGGCUGAGUAGGCUCCUUGCAGAAAUGGUUGGCGAAGAGGUGCAGAAAGUGAAGCUGAAGAUCGACAACAAAUCGGCCAUUGAGCUCAGCAAGAACCCAGUCCAUCAUGAAAGGAGCAAACAUAUUGAUCUCAAGUAUCAUUAUAUACGG
rnacentral:rRNA from 1 species